GCACGUGAAGCAGGUAAAAUAAGCAACCUGUUUAUCGGUGCCGCCCAUGUGGUCUAUCAUCAACUGAUGGAAUGAACAGGUCUUCAAGCUCUGUAAGAGCCCGCGUCGAUGCCCCCCAUCAUUGCCAUUAGCUUGGACUGGCUGACUU